GGGCUGCUCUUCCCUCCUUGGCGGUUCAGGUUGCGGCAGGGCCCUUGGCCGAUCCUCUCUGUCCUCAGGUCGGCAUCGAAUGAACCUGUCGAGCUAACCUCGUCUGAUGAACUCCUCGAUCUCAUCUCAGAGCUGAAUGCACUCCUCUGUAUCGUGGCCGUGGUCACGAUGGUAGAGGCGGAACUUGUUGGGGUUGCACUUUCUAGGAUGCGUGCACAUCCUUUCUGACCUUGGGAGCUGCUCUCUGACCUCCAUCAGC
rnacentral:lncRNA from 1 species